AACGAACGCUGGCGGCAUGCCUAACACAUGCAAGUCGAACGAGACCUUCGGGUCUAGUGGCGCACGGGUGCGUAACGCGUGGGAACCUGCCCUUAGGUUCGGAAUAACUCCCCGAAAGGGGUGCUAAUACCGGAUAAUGUCUUCGGACCAAAGAUUUAUCGCCUUUGGAUGGGCCCGCGUUGGAUUAGCUAGUUGGUAGGGUAAAAGCCUACCAAGGCGACGAUCCAUAGCUGGUCUGAGAGGAUGAUCAGCCACACUGGGACUGAGACACGGCCCAGACUCCUACGGGAGGCAGCAGUGGGGAAUAUUGGACAAUGGGCGAAAGCCUGAUCCAGCAAUGCCGCGUGAGUGAUGAAGGCCUUAGGGUUGUAAAGCUCUUUCACCCGGGACGAUAAUGACAGUACCGGGAGAAUAAGCUCCGGCUAACUCCGUG
rnacentral:rRNA from 1 species